rnacentral:rRNA from 1 species
AUUGAACGCUGGCGGCAUGCUCUACACAUGCAAGUCGAACGGUAACAGGGUGCUUGCACCGCUGACGAGUGGCGAACGGGUGAGUAAUGCGUCGGAACGUGCCGAGUAGUGGGGGAUAACGCAGCGAAAGUUGUGCUAAUACCGCAUACGUACUGAGGUAGAAAGUGGGGGACCUUCGGGCCUCACGCUAUUCGAGCGGCCGACGUCUGAUUAGCUAGUAGGUGAGGUAAAGGCUCACCUAGGCGACGAUCAGUAGCGGGUCUGAGAGGAUGAUCCGCCACACUGGGACUGAGACACGGCCCAGACUCCUACGGGAGGCAGCAGUGGGGAAUUUUGGACAAUGGGCGAAAGCCUGAUCCAGCCAUGCCGCGUGUCUGAAGAAGGCCUUCGGGUUGUAAAGGACUUUUGUCAGGGAGGAAAUCCCUAGUGCUAAUAACACUGGGGGAUGACAGUACCUGAAGAAUAAGCAUCGGCUAACUACGUGCCAGCCGCCGCAGUAACAC